rnacentral:rRNA from 1 species
AUUGAACGCUGGCGGCAGGCCUAACACAUGCAAGUCGAGCGGAUGAAGGGAGCUUGCUCUUGGAUUCAGCGGCGGACGGGUGAGUAAUGCCUAGGAAUCUGCCUGGUAGUGGGGGAUAACGUCCGGAAACGGGCGCUAAUACCGCAUACGUCCUGAGGGAGAAAGUGGGGGAUCUUCGGACCUCACGCUAUCAGAUGAGCCUAGGUCGGAUUAGCUAGUUGGUGGGGUAAAGGCCUACCAAGGCGACGAUCCGUAACUGGUCUGAGAGGAUGAUCAGUCACACUGGAACUGAGACACGGUCCAGACUCCUACGGGAGGCAGCAGUGGGGAAUAUUGGACAAAGGGCGAAAGCCUGAUCCAGCCAUGCCGCGUGUGUGAAGAAGGUCUUCGGAUUGUAAAGCACUUUAAGUUGGGAGGAAGGGCAGUAAGUUAAUACCUUGCUGUUUUGACGUUACCAACAGAAUAAGCACCGGCUAACUUCGUG